rnacentral:ncRNA from 2 species
AAUUCGUUGUGGGGGUGCUGUAAGGCUGAGAAGAGAUUAUUCUCUAACCCUUUGAACCUGAUCUAGGUAAAACUGGCGUAGGGAAGCAGAUAUUUUAUGAUA